GAUGAAGAACGCAUCGAAAUGCGAUAAGUAAUGUGAAUUGCAGAAUUCAGUGAAUCAUCGAAUCUUUGAACGCACAUUGCGCCCGGUAGUAUUCUGCCGGGCAUGCCUGUUCGAGCGUCAUUUCAACCAUCAAGCCCCAGCGCUUGUGUUGGGGGCCUGCGGCUGCCGCAGCCCCCUAAAAGCAGUGGCGGGCUCGCUAUCACACCGAGUGCAGUAGUUCAUCUUCUCUCCGGUCUUGUGAGGCGGGUUCCGGCCGUGAAACACCCCACUACAUUCAAGGUUGACCUCGGAUCAGGUAGGAAUACCCGCUGAACUUAAGCAUAUCAAUAAGCGGAGGA
rnacentral:misc_RNA from 1 species